CUUCUCUGCUCUGCCUCGCCGGGGUCGCCUUCCUCGCGCGCUUUGGUUAUUGAUCCCGCUGAACCAGCCGGAGUGGCGAGGCUGCGUUUCCCCGGGGAUCGAUGGGGUGGGGUGGGGAGUAGGCUGCGGGGGUCGGAAAGGGGUUGAUAAACUUCAGGAAAGGGUGCAGAACGUUCUUCAGUACCCAAGGGCCGCCC
rfam:Loxodonta africana unplaced genomic scaffold scaffold_27, whole genome shotgun sequence.